AGAGCAAUUCCUAUAGAGGACAGGCUCGAUGUAACGAAUAAUGAAAGAUCAUUCUUGAAUAUAAGUAAACCAAGAUCUUCUUCUAUAUAAGAUACAUCAAACCAGAAUUGUAUUUUCAUUUUGGGUUUCUACAAAGAUAGUGGUAAGAAUUAGCUUAAAUCGUUAAAGUUAAAAACGUGCUUUGGGUGGCCUCUUGCAGAUCAACAUUUUAUUUCAAUUUUUAUGGAAAGAAUGGAAAUCAUAAGGUUUAUUGCAGUAAAAUCAUUUAAUAAAUCUGAAACAAAAAAAGAAAAUGGUUAAAUAAUUUAAUUUUGAUA